rnacentral:rRNA from 1 species
GACGAACGCUGGCGGCGUGCCUAAUACAUGCAAGUUGAGCGCUGAAGGUUGGUACUUGUACCAACUGGAUGAGCAGCGAACGGGUGAGUAACGCGUGGGGAAUCUGCCUUUGAGCGGGGGACAACAUUUGGAAACGAAUGCUAAUACCGCAUAAAAACUUUAAACACAAGUUUUAAGUUUGAAAGAUGCAAUUGCAUCACUCAAAGAUGAUCCCGCGUUGUAUUAGCUAGUUGGUGAGGUAAAGGCUCACCAAGGCGAGGAUACAUAGCCGACCUGAGAGGGUGAUCGGCCCCAUUGGGACUGAGACACGGCCCAAACUCCUACGGGAGGCAGCAGUAGGGAAUCUUCGGCAAUGGACGAAAGUCUGACCGAGCAACGCCGCGUGAGUGAAGAAGGUUUUCGGAUCGUAAAACUCUGUUGGUAGAGAAGAACGUUGGUGAGAGUGGAAAGCUCAUCAAGUGACGGUAACUACCCAGAAAGGGACGGCUAACUACGUG